UACGGAGGGUGCGAGCGUUGUCCGGAAUCACUGGGCGUAAAGGGCGCGUAGGUGGCCCGUUAAGUGGCUGGUGAAAUCCCUCGGCUCAACCGGGGAACUGCGUCUGAUACUGGGUGGCUUGAAUCCGGGAGAGGGAUGCGGAAUUCCAGGUGUAGCGGUGAAAUGCGUAGAUAUCUGGAGGAACACCGGUGGCGAAGGCGGCAUCCUGGACCGGUAUUGACGCUGAGGCGCGAAAGCCAGGGGAGCAAACGGG
rnacentral:rRNA from 1 species